rnacentral:rRNA from 1 species
AUUGAACGCUGGCGGCAGGCCUAACACAUGCAAGUCGAACGGUAACAGGAAGCAGCUUGCUGCUUUGCUGACGAGUGGCGGACGGGUGAGUAAUGUCUGUGAAACUGCCCGAUGGAGGGGGAUAACUACUGGAAACGGUAGCUAAUACCGCAUAACGUCUCAAGACCAAAGAGGGGGACCUUAGGGCCUCUUGCCUUCGGAUGUGCCCAGAUGGGAUUAGCUAGUAGGUGGGGUAACGGCUCACCUAGGCGACGAUCCCUAGCUGGUCUGAGAGGAUGACCAGCCACACUGGAACUGAGACACGGUCCAGACUCCUACGGGAGGCAGCAGUGGGGAAUAUUGCACAAUGGGCGCAAGCCUGAUGCAGCCAUGCCGCGUGUAUGAAGAAGGCCUUCGGGUUGUAAAGUACUUUCAGCGGGGAGGAAGGGAGUAAAGUUAAUACCUUUGCUCAUUGACGUUACCCGCAGAAGAAGCACCGGCUAACUCCGUG